rnacentral:rRNA from 1 species
CUGCACUGUACCGCCUGCCAGUGUGAAUUUGAAUUGUGGAUGACGCGAGAAGUUUCAAUGCCUGCCGAGGUGGCACUGUCAGCGGCAGGCAGGGAGAGAGAAACGGAUUGUGCCCCCAAAGAUCCCCCCUCUCCCCUCUCCGCUCGGACAGCCAGAGCUGACUUUUGCUCCUCCUCCACACUCCUCUUUCCUCUCCCUCCCUCCCCAGCCUCAUGUUCUUCUCCCCCUUCCUGUAGCUUCCAUCCCACUCCCCCUCCCCCAAUUCCACCCUCCCCUCCCGCCCCCCCGCCUAAAAAUCCAGUCUUGCUUGGGGGCCGUCCCUCCCCGCAAGCGGAGAUCCUCGCCGGGAGGGGAUCCCGCGUCGUCCGCCCCGGCGCGGCGGCCUCUCCUGUCCGCGUCCUCCACGCGUUUUCCUGGUUCCGGCGAGGGAGCGGAGGAGAGGAGGGAGCGCGCCUGGAUGAGCUGCUUCUCCUGCUUCGGCCCGGCCCUGGAGGCGGAGGGCCGCAAGCCGGUGCCCGACGCCAAGGACCCCCGCGCCAAGGACGGCGCGGUCUCGGAUCGCGCCGGAUCAGAUAAAUUGAGGCUGCAGGGUGGAUCAGACCCUAAGAAUAAUCAUCUAACCAUCCCUCGCGAUGGGAGCAGCCAAAACAUUGCCGCACAGAUUUUCACUUUCCGUGAGCUUGCUGCUGCCACUAAGAACUUCAGACAAGAUUGCAUGUUGGGUGAGGGAGGUUUCGGACGUGUAUAUAAAGGUCGCCUAGAGAGUGGGCAGGCUGUUGCUGUGAAGCAACUUGAUCGUAACGGUCUCCAAGGAAAUAGAGAAUUCCUUGUUGAGGUCCUCAUGCUCAGUCUCUUGCAUCACACUAACCUUGUCAAUCUAAUUGGUUAUUGUGCUGAUGGUGACCAACGCCUCCUUGUUUAUGAGUUUAUGCCACUGGGCUCAUUAGAAGAUCACUUGCAUGAUGUGCCACCUGAGAAGGAACCUCUUGACUGGAACACACGGAUGAAGAUAGCUGCAGGUGCAGCCAAGGGCUUAGAGCAUCUUCAUGACAAGGCCAGCCCUCCUGUUAUUUACCGGGAUUUCAAAUCGUCAAACAUUCUUCUUGGUGAAGGGUUUCACCCGAAGCUGUCUGACUUUGGCCUUGCAAAACUCGGUCCAGUUGGUGACAACACUCAUGUUUCAACACGUGUGAUGGGAACUUAUGGCUACUGUGCCCCAGAAUAUGCUAUGACUGGGCAGCUCACAGUGAAAUCAGAUGUCUAUAGCUUUGGCGUUGUUUUCCUUGAACUGAUUACAGGGCGCAAAGCAAUCGACAACACCAAACCCCAGGGGGAGCAAAACCUGGUGGCAUGGGCUCGUCCACUCUUCAAGGAUCGCAGGAAGUUUCCGAAGAUGGCUGACCCAAUGCUUCAAGGCCGGUUUCCCAUGAGGGGUCUGUAUCAGGCUUUAGCUGUUGCUGCCAUGUGUUUGCAAGAGCAAGCCACAACCCGUCCUCAUAUAGGAGAUGUUGUCACUGCUCUCUCAUAUCUAGCUUCUCAGACAUAUGAUCCAAAUGCCCCAACUCAACAUACUCGGAGCAAUUCAUCGACCCCUAGGGCCAGAAAUGUUGGUGGGCGGAACAGCGAACAGCGCAACGGACGCUCACCAAAUCAUCAUUCUCCUAGGACAUCAAAGCACGGAGGGGAGGUCAGCCGGACUAGUUCUACUGGUGGUGAUUCUGGCCGGAGGUCAGGAUUGGAUGAAAUGGACAUGGCAGGAUCACAGGCAGGCAGCCCAGCACAGACAGGAAGGAAGAGAGAAACCCCCAGGACCGCUGACAGGCAGCGCGCCAUUGCGGACGCUAAAAUGUGGGGGGAGAACUCCAGAGAGCGGAAGCGACCGAACGACAGCUUUGAUAGUACAAAUGAGUAAACUGGACAGUUCUCUUUCACGACGUCACUCUAGCAGGGGGUCGACGAGUUUGCUCAUCAGCACCAGACGGGCCAGGUUUAGGAACACGGUGUUUGUUCCAGCUCUGUCCCGUUGUCUGUGAAUAAAGGCUUUUCUUGCCAUCAGCACUGCCUCACGGUUGCUUUAUCUGUAAGUUGUUGCAGUUGACAUGCCUUCUCCGGGCGGCGUCCAUUCCUUGCGAAUGUGAUUGUGUCAUGUACUCGUCUCCUUUAGAGCUCAGGAGCCUACAAGAUGCAGCUGGAAAUGUAGGAAAGGGAACUGCAAGACCGUCGAAGCCGCAGAGCUGCGUCUGUCAGGCCCUUCCUUUCAUUCUUCUGCAGUUACACGAUGUCGACGAGUACGCACCGCUGCACCUGUGUUCUGGAACUGAUUGCGCAACCGUGCCAGGCAGUUUCUUCUGAUGGAUGAGAUUUCAGGUUUGGUUGGGGGAUAGGAUAGAGAUUACCCAUGUUUCGUACAGCCGCUAUUGUUUUUGUGUCGAGUCGCGGGAUCGGUCAUUUAUUUGUAUUAGCUUCGACGUACUUCUGCUUGUAUCUUCGUGCGAACAUGGUUUAGCAUGCAGCAAAAGUACCAGGUUAUUCAGAAUUUCAGUGCCCAUAUGUUAUCCCUACUUUUGUUCCUGGAAACCAUGUUGUUCAUG